AGGUAAAGCACUCAACAGACUGAAAAAAGAUCAAUAAAUGGAAAUACCUCCAGAUAUUUUCUCUCCAAGAUGGGAUUUUAAUUCAUUCAGGAACAACUUAUGAGGUUUGCACAGUGCAAGUUUCAGAAGACUGAAAAGCCUGAAGACCUGAGGUUAUGGUGAGGUCCAAAAGUCUGUAAAACUACACAAACUUUACCAAGGAUUUCUAUGAGGAUGCAGUGGAUAUCUUUUUCCAGAAUAUCUGAUCAGUUAUAUUAUGUGCAAGAGAGAGAACACCUGAGACAGCUGCUGCAACAAAAGGAAAAAUGCAGGAGUUUUUUUUCGUUUUUCAAAAAGGCAUUUCCAAAAUAAGUCUUAUUCCUUUGUGCAUGUCUGAUUGUAUUGUUGCUACUGAAAAAUGAUAUCUUCUUAUAAGGAACAGCUUAAAAUAAUGAACAAAUAAGAAUUGAACUGAGGAUUCGUGUGCUUUUCUGGAAUGUGAUUGAUACUGGGACUCAAGAAACAUGCAUAGCCUGACAAUGGCAGGUCUAUUCACGUAGACAGCGGGGUCCACAGGAGUGCACUGGGAUCAGCCAUAACAUUUGUUGUAGUUUAAAUUAUUCAGAAAUGUUCCUGGUAUUAAUCUGUACUUAUUGGGGUAUCAAAUUGGUAGUUUCAUCCCAAGCGUUAUGUGAUAACAUGAAUUUUGGCUUCGUGGCAUAUUGGAGCAAAAGCUAUUUAUUUUGAGAAUCUGUUAGGCCUAGAUUGUAUGUGACUGCAAACUAGAGAGGGAGGGCAAAAAUCACUCUGUACGUCUUAAUCUACCAAGCUAUUUAUUCUUGAGAAUCUAUUAGGCCGAUAUUGUAUGUAUGCAGACUAGAGAGGGGAAGGCAAAAACUCACUCUGUAUGUCUUGAUCUACCAAGCUCUUUAUGCUGGGAGGACAUGUGAUGAGAUCCAUACAACUGUUUGUGCUCCCCAAGGCAGAUAGCCAGAGGCAGAUUUUUGAGUUAGAAUAAAAAUAUGUUGUUCUGUGAAUGAAAAAGCCCUCAUCCAGAGAGUGGACUGUCAUCACUAGAUCUCCUGGGACUGUGCUUAAAAUGGAUCAGUUUACACACCAGUUUCUUUAUUGGGGUGAUGCCAGUUGUUACACCUGAGUCUAGAGGAAAUAUAAUGCUGUGAAAUGAGUACAAACUGGAGUGUGAAAGAACUUAGCCAGUCCUAACCAGUGAGUGGUCAGCUGCCAUGAUGUCUUCUCUUGGCCAUUGUCAUUGCAACCAGAUCAGAGACCAGCUUCUCCAGUUCAGCUCUUUCCCUAGAGACAACAUGGCAAUUUGUAUGGCAGACCUUUACUGGUUUGCUAUCUGACAGAUAAAAAAUACUAUUUUUUAAUGUCUCUGAUGAUAUUAUGUCAUAUCUUUGGUUGAAAGGAUUUCUGAGCUGUUUAAAAGUACCAGAAGUUUGUUACUGAUAUUGAUCAUAAUAGUAUGCAAUACUAUUACCUGCAAUAAAUUUUCCCAGCGAGAUACAGAUUUUAUCACUUUCUUUUUUAAACAGAGGAUGAUUUGGUUUUGAUGUUACAUUUAAUAAAAUGAGACAAAUAUGACUGAUUAUAAAUAUAUAUAUGUACUGGUGACCAGAUCUUAAUAUGCAUUUUUUCAUGUUGUCUUCAUACUCUUAUUAUGAGGCCUUCAGGUUUGAAAUCUGGCCUCUGAUAUUUUUUGAGAUAAUAAAACUCUGUAGACUUAACUU
rnacentral:lncRNA from 7 species